UUGUCUCAAAGAUUAAGCCAUGCAUGUCUCAGUACAUACCGAAUUAAGGUGAAACCGCGAAAGGCUCAUUAUAUCAGUUAUGGUUCAUUAGAUCGUACUUCACAUUUACUUGGAUAACUGUGGUAAUUCUAGAGCUAAUACAUGCAAACAGAACUCCGACCGGAGACGGAAGGAGCGCUUUUAUUAGAUCAAAACCGAUGGGCGUCGGCGGCCGGCGUGAUCGUGCGCCGCGUCGUCGUCGUCGCAUAGCUCUCACGAUGAAUCUGAAUAACUUUAUGCCGAUCGCACGGUCAAGCACCGGCGACGCAUCUUUCAAAUGUCUGCCUUAUCAACUUUCGAUGGUAGGUUAUGCGCCUACCAUGGUUGUAACGGGUAACGGGGAAUCAGGGUUCGAUUCCGGAGAGGGAGCCUGAGAAACGGCUACCACAUCCAAGGAAGGCAGCAGGCGCGCAAAUUACCCACUCCCGGCACGGGGAGGUAGUGACGAAAAAUAACGAUACGGGACUCAUCCGAGGCCCCGUGAUCGGAAUGAGCACACUUUAAAUCCUUUAACUAGGAUCAAUUGGAGGGCAAGUCUGGUGCCAGCAGCCGCGGUAAUUCCAGCUCCAAUAGCGUAUAUUAAAGUUGCUGCGGUUAAAAAGCUCGUAGUCGAAAUUGUGUCCCGGGCCGCCGGUUCGUCGCUCGCGACGUCAACUGGCGCGCACGCGGGACGUCCAGCCGGUGCUCGAACCCGCCGACGGUGCUCUUAACCGAGUGUCCAGGCGGGGGCCGGCAACGUUACUUUGAACAAAUUAAAGUGCUCAAAGCAGGCUAAACUGCGCUCGCAUAAUCAGUGCAUGGAAUAAUCGAAUAGGACCUCUGUUCUAUUUUGUUGGCUUUUGUAGAACAAACAGAGGUAAUGAUCAAUGGGUGCGGAUGGGGGCAUUCGUAUUGCGACGUUAGAGGUGAAAUUCUUGGAUCGUCGCAAGACGCACUAAAGCGAAAGCAUUUGCCAAAAACGCUUUCAUCGAUCAAGAACGAAAGUUAGAGGUUCGAAGGCGAUCAGAUACCGCCCUAGUUCUAACCAUAAACUAUGCCAGCCAGCGAUCCGCCGAAGUUACUACUAUGACUCGGCGGGCAGCUACCGGGAAACCAAAGCUUUUGGGUUCCGGGGGAAGUAUGGUUGCAAAGCUGAAACUUAAAGGAAUUGACGGAAGGGCACCACCAGGAGUGGAGCCUGCGGCUUAAUUUGACUCAACACGGGAAACCUCACCAGGCCCGGACACCGAAAGGAUUGACAGAUUGAGAGCUCUUUCUUGAUUCGGUGGGUGGUGGUGCAUGGCCGUUCUUAGUUGGUGGAGCGAUUUGUCUGGUUAAUUCCGAUAACGAACGAGAC
rnacentral:rRNA from 1 species